UUCCUUUUAAUUAUUAAUAUUUUAAAUAUUGAAUUUUUAUUAAAAUUUAAAGGUAAACAAGGAUUGGUUGAAAUGAAUGAACAAUCAAGAAGGUCAAAUAUAUAAAUAAAUAUAAAAUGACAGUAAUUUGACAUGGUUGAAAUUUUUUUUUAAUUAAUUAAGAAAAACAGUGUGUGAGAUCAUAUAUGUUCUUUCAAAUGAGAUAAAAGAGAAAAUAUUUAAUUGAAAUACAUUUGUUAAAAUUUUCCUUUAUAUGAUAACAUAGAUCAUGUAAUACAUAUACAUAUGGUCUUGCAUCUUACUGUAAUCUUCAGAUGUCAGCCAUGAUUCAAUCUUGCAACAAAGCAUAACCCUGUCAAAUUAGGAUGACUUUCAUUAAUACGAAAAAGAGAAUGUUUUUUGUUGAGUUAUUUGUUUCCUGGCCAAAGGUUUACAAUACUAUGUACUAGUACCUACUACCUAACCUUCUAGUUUGAUCAUCUAUAAUGUUUCUGGGUUGGUCCAUGUGCAUAACUGGUAAGAAGGAUCAAGUGGAGGGAGGAUCCAUUGUCUCUAGGACGCAAUAAUUUAAUUGACGCUGGAUGGAUCGUUUUCUCAUCAUCUGAGGGUGUCACAAUUAAUUUCAGCAUAUAAUAAUAGUUUAUAAUGUUGUUGUUGUUCAUGGAAGCAUCUGGGUCACAAGUUGACGAGGUUACUGACAGCAUUUGAUGAAAGUUGCCACAAGGAACUGCGAGAAGCCACGGUGCCCCUCUUCCCAUUGCCAAUUAUAACGAGGACAAGUCACAUCAAGGGCACAAAAUACUGUGCGAAAAUGUGGUUUUAAUGUUAUUAUUUUAAAUGAUGCAGCCUGGAAUCACUAGCUUUGGACGUACUAGGAUUUUGUUGCUUUUUCGGUUCCUAGAACUCCAUUAAGGACCCUCUUUGCUUCUCAACAAUUACUUGGAUAUUUUGGUGAAUUGCAAUUUAGAUCA